rnacentral:rRNA from 1 species
UACGGAGGGUGCGAGCGUUGUCCGGAAUCACUGGGCGUAAAGGGCGCGUAGGUGGCUUCUCAAGCGCGCGGUGAAAGCCCGGGGCUCAACCCCGGGUCGGCCGUGCGGACUGGGAGGCUCGAGCACUGUAGGGGCGGGUGGAAUUCCGGGUGUAGCGGUGGAAUGCGUAGAGAUGUGGAGGAACACCGAUGGCGAAGGCAGCCUCCUGGGCCAGCACUGACGCUCAUGCACGAAAGCGUGGGGAGCAAACAGG